rfam:Danio rerio chromosome 1, GRCz11 reference primary assembly.
GGCCCAGUGGCCUAAUGGAUAAGGCACCAACCUUCAAAGCUGAGGAUUGUGGGUUCAAGUCCCACCUGGGUUG